CCUACGGGUGGCAGCAGUGAGGAAUAUUGGUCAAUGGGCGGAAGCCUGAACCAGCCAAGUCGCGUGAGGGAUUAAGGCCCUAUGGGUCGUAAACCUCUUUUGUCAGGGAGCAAGGUCGUCCACGUGUGGGCGUAUGGAGAGUACCUGAAGAAAAAGCAUCGGCUAACUCCGUGCCAGCAGCCGCGGUAAUACGGAGGAUGCGAGCGUUAUCCGGAUUUAUUGGGUUUAAAGGGAGCGUAGGCCGGUCUUUAAGCGUGCCGUGAAAUUUUGUGGCUCAACCAUGAGAGUGCGGCGCGAACUGGAGACCUUGAGUGCGCGGAAGGCAGGCGGAAUUCGUGGUGUAGCGGUGAAAUGCUUAGAUAUCACGAAGAACCCCGAUUGCGAAGGCAGCCUGCCGCAGCGUUACUGACGCUGAAGCUCGAAAGCGCGGGUAUCGAACAGGAUUAGAUAUCCGUGUAGUC
rnacentral:rRNA from 1 species